rnacentral:rRNA from 1 species
UACGUAGGGGGCCAGCGUUGUCCGAAGUUACUGGGCGUAAAGAGCGCGUAGGCGGGCCCUUAAGUGGGGGGUGAAAGGUUGGGGCUCAACCCCAACACUGCCUUUCAUACUGGGGGCCUUGAGUGCGGGAGAGGCGAGUGGAAUGGUCGGUGUAGCGGUGAAAUGCGUAGAUAUCUGGAGGAACACCGGUGGCGAAGGCGGCGUUCUGGACUGCAACUGACACUGAGGAACGAAAGCCAGGGGAGCAAACGGG